GACGAACGCUGGCGGCGUGCUUAACACAUGCAAGUCGAACGGAAAGGCCCCUUUGGGGGUACUCGAGUGGCGAACGGGGGAGUAACACGUGAGUAACCUGCCCUUGACUUCGGGACAACUUCAGGAAACUGGGGCUAAUACCGGAUAGGAAUCCUUGCUUCAUGGUGGGGGUUGGAAAGCUUCGGCGGUUUUGGAUGGACUCGCGGCUUAUCAGCUUGUUGGUGGGGUAGUGGAUUACCAAGGCUUUGACGGGUAGCCGGCCUGAGAGGGCGACCGGCCACCUUGGGACUGAGGUGCGGCCCAGGCUCCUACGGGAGGCAGCAGUGGGGAAUAUUGCACAAUGGGCGGCAGCCUGAUGCAGCAACGCCGCGUGCGGGAUGACGGCCUUCGGGUUGUAAACCGCUUUCAGCAGGGGCGAAGCUUGUGGUGACGGUACCUGCAGAAGAAGCACCGGCUAACUACGUG
rnacentral:rRNA from 1 species